rnacentral:lncRNA from 1 species
GCCUCACUCAAAAAAUUAUAUAUUCCACCAGUUCAUGAGCUAUAUCAAGCAUAUCUCUGAUGUGGGAAUAAAAUGUUAGAAAGAGACAUUUCCCAUCACAAUCUGACAGUUUAUGUCUUAUGAUGUUGGUGUUAUUUUCUCUUUUAUGUAAUAAUGGUGUUGAAAGUGUUGUGUUGAGCGAUCAAAAGAAAAAAAGCCAAGGAACAAAAAAGAGAAAGAUUGCAGCAACAAAAUAUUCAGUCCCAAUCAAUACAAGAAUGAAAUAUUACGUAUCUCAUGGUUUGGUUAUAAGUUAUUAUCCCAGAAAACCAAAAUAAAAUAAAAUGAAAUAAAAUAAAAGCAGUGGCUGAUGGAUGCCUGGACUUCCCCAUGUAUGCCACCGAGAUUCCUCCUUGCUUCUUCUUACAUCAUCUCCAUGCCUUACAUUUUUCAACUCUUGAAGCACACC